AACACGAACAAACAAAAUAAACUAAAUGAAAU
rnacentral:guide_RNA from 1 species